rnacentral:lncRNA from 1 species
AGUGUCUUUUAAGUAUUUGAUCAUCAAAUGCCAACCCCCAGGAUCUGCUAUUCUUUUUUGUUUUGUUUUGUUUUUGUUUUUCGAGACAGGGUUUCUCUGUAUAGCCCAGGCUGUCCUGGAACUCACUUUGUAGACCAGGUUGGCCUCAAACUCAAAUAUCUGCCUGCCUCUGCCUCCCAAGUGCUGGGAUUAAAGACAUGCGCCACCAUACCUGGCUCAGCAGAAAGUCCUAACAUGUGAUACUUAGCAAUAAUUCACAUGGUGAAUCCCAGCUAGCAGACCCUGCUACUCAGUUGGAGAUGGACAGCAUUGUGCUGUCCAUCACUACUGAAAAGUCAAGGGAGAGCAAGAAGAGAGCAUCUCCCUGGAUCCCAGACUAAAUGAUGACUUUACUGCAAAAUCCCACGGACAACAAACUAGGCCACUUUAUCCAAACUGCACUCAAAGUACCUCUACAGCCCCUUCCCUGAAGAGCCUUAUGUGUUCUCUAGGUGAGAUUGGUGUUUUCUGAAAUUCAGAGAUUCUUCCAUUUUCAAAUCUCAAAAUCAAGACCUCAUUUGAUUCAAUAUAUUACCUACACUCAGGAUGUUGGUUGUGUACCAAGAAGAAUAAAAAAUAGUUUAUUUGACCUUUUGUUAUUUUUAACAGGGUGUGUGUAUGGUACUAAUUUUCCAUAAAAAGAGGAAAUGUGUCUUUUGAUAAAGUAAAGAAUCAAUCCAUGAAUACACAGCAGGACAACUGGCAGUCCCUUUGAGUCGUUCCAUCAUCCAAACCCAGUAUGAACAACUUCUGACUGUGCAAAUGAGGAGGGAAUGCUCUGGGUGGGCCAAGGGUCACUAAAAGAAAAAGGCAUGAUGGGGGCUCAUCAGAAGAGCAAGACAGAGGAUUAGGAUUUACAGAAAAAAAUAAGGAAACAUGAGAGGAAAGUUCUUGAAAUGCCUUGUCCUGUGUAUAGAGGCCAGAGGACCACUUUCAGGAGUCCUCUGUUUUCUCUGACCAUGCUGUGGGUCCCUAGAAUCAAAGUUCUAAUUCAAUAUUAUUUUGUUUUAUUCCGUUUAUGUUACUGGAUUCACUUGUUGCUCAAAUUAUUCAGAUGUGGCCACUGGGAGCUCCCUCAGUUGGCCCCUAUUUUCUUUUGGCACAAAACCAUCAUUGUGCUUUGCUUUUGCUUAAUGUUCUCUUACCACCUUGUGUAUUUCUUGUCCCAGACCUAACAUCAGCUAUUUCUCCAAGAAGCCAUUUCAUUUAAAUGGUGACUGUUAGCAGAAACCAAACCAGGGUGGAGGUAAACUUGUUCCUGGUGUGGUGUCAUUUCUUCUGCUGUAGUUCAGUCCACAGAACAAUAUGUAUGUGUGUGUCCUGCUAGUCCGUGAACAUGCAUCUUUUCAAUAUAUACAUAUACAUAUACACAAACAUUAUAUACACAUAUAUACCACAUACACACACAUACAUACACAAUACACAUAUCAUAUACAUAUACACAUACAUAUGCAUAUAUAUAUCGUCACUUAUGUGAAGCUAAGUGUGAGUUUAAACUUGUGUUUCAAUGUAAUCAUGUGGAUCAUACAAGAUUGCCUGGUGGUUAACCAGCAUAGUCUAUGGCACACAACUUUUUCAGCUACCCCCAGUGUAAACAUGCCCUUUCUUCUUAAGCCUCUGGUUUUACAGACUCCUCUGGGUGCUAAAGCCACUUUAGUCAGUGCCCUCAUCCCUCGUCCCCUUCAGGAAAGUUCUUUCACACAUUUGUAACACAGAGGGCUCAGUCACAGUCUGAAUUCUGUUCUGAAAUUCCUGAAUAAGCAAUGCUAAAUUUGUGUGCAUUAGAAUUCAUUCUUUGUGGUAUAGACUUUAAUGUUUUUAAACAAUGUAGGAUGUAAUUUGAAUGCAUUUAAUACUACGGAACAGUUUUCUCACCUUAAAAAGAAACCUGUGCUUUCUCAGUUCAAGUCUUCUUCCUCCAUCAGUGAGUCUCUGUCAGCCACAAACGGUUUUGCUGUGUCUACAGUUGUACCUUUUCCAGAGUGUCAUACAAUUGACAUAUAUUAUGUGGCCCUUUGAGACUGAGUUUCUUCAUGCAGCAGCUUAUACGUGUUAGAGUGUGAAUAGCAGGUGUCUCCCAAACUCAUACAUUGAAAUGCUAAUCUUCAGGAUAGUGGCAUUGUAGGUGACCCCAAGUCCAGGUGAGAAGCUAUUGAUAGUUCAAGGUUCCAGGAGAGGGAGAGUCAGUUUUAUUUAAGAGUGCAGGUUGACCAUGUUCCAGUGGGUGAAUCUACACUUAGGAGUAUAUGAGCCACAUAAAUUGGACUGAAUGGGUUAAAAAAUUAUGUGAAGUUGGAAAGAGGCUGGAGAGAUUGGGGAUGGAUCUAGAAAGAUAGGGGGAAGACUAAGAGGCAGACAUGAUCAAAAAUAGAUUAUAUGCAUUUGUGAAAAUCUUGAAGAAUUAGUGAAAAUAUUACAUUGAUUAAAUUAUCUUCUCCAUUGGGUUGUUUCAACUGGAAGAGUGUAUGAGCACAUCUUAUAUCCAGUCUCAUCUCCUCUGGUAUUUGUUCAGAGGUAGAACUUUACUCACUCCUUAUGUAGAGGUGCAUUGCUUCUUCCAGUGAAAUCAUCUCUUCCUGAUCUGUGGCUAUGGUCAAGGCACCCUAUGACCCAGUUAUCAAGGGACAUUCCUGAGUUAAGACUACAGGCCUCAGGUUCUAUGUGGGGUGGCACUUGACAUGUUUUUUUCUUCAUCCCUCCCUUCCUUUCUUCCUUCUUUACUUCAUUCCUUCUUCCCUCCCUCCCUUUAUUCUUUCCCUCCUUCUUUCUUUCCUUCCUUCUUCCUUUUGUUCUUUUUGUUUUCUUUUGUGAGAAAGAACCUCACAGAUUUGGCACUAUCUUUUUGACCUUGUGUUCUUCCUCACUCUAGACUUAUAGGUUUAUGUCAUUAUGCUCAGCUGAGAUAUUUUGCCUUCUUGUGUGACAAGGCUCUUCCAGGGAAGGCAUCAUAUAUGUGUGGAGAGCCGUGCCGUGAGCAAUCGCCAUUAUAAGAUGGCACUGGCUUCCACUGUGCCUAACUAGUAAACAAGCCUUAUGUGCAAGUGCAAGAGUGAACUCACACCUAGUCACUGCCCAUCCUGCGGUGUAGUAAUGGGGUGAUGGGUGAGCAACGAAUCAGGAGCUGUCAUGCCACAUCAGGUGCUGAAAUGUCACGCUGCAGGCUAUAUAAGCAGCGCCAUUUUCCCGGUUCGGGGGUCUUCCCUCCUGAUAAGUAAGCAAUAAAAGCUUUGCCGCAGAAGAUUCUGGUUGUCCUGAGUGUGUUCUUGCCAGUGGAGACAAAAGCUCGGGAUAAGUGGCGCUGAGAAACCCGGGAACUACCAUCACACCGGCGCAAGGGAGAUCCCUCGUUCACGAGGCAGAACCAGAACUGCGGGACAAAUUACAGCUUUACGAGGUAUGUCUGGCCUUGAACUUUCUCCAGUGUUAGAAGCCUUUUUGUUCCUUUUCACAUGUCAACAAGUGGUUAAGGCAGGGCAGAGAAUUCUGGACGAAAUUCAAGACAGUCUAUCAGAGGUAAAGCGGGGAGAGAGAGUAGGAGCAAAGAGAAAACAUGGUGCACCAAUUAAGCAUUCAGGCCUUUCCACGAGUCUUGAACCAGAGGAAAAGUUAAUGUCAGGGAAGAAUA